rnacentral:tRNA from 1 species
UGGAGCAGUCUGGUAGCUCGUCGGGCUCAUAACCCGAAGGUCGUUGGUUCAAAUCCAGC